AUUCGAGGCCCCGUAAUUGGAAUGAGUACACUUCAAAUCCUUUAACGAGGAUCCAUUGGAGGGCAAGCCUGGUGCCAGCAGCCGCGGUAAUUCCAGCUCCAAUAGCGUAUAUUAAAGUUGUUGCAGUUAAAAAGCUCGUAGUUGGAUCUCGGGUCCAGGCUCGCGGUUCGCCCCGCGGCGAUCACUGCCCGUCCUGACCUACCUCCCGGUUUUCCCUUGGUGCUCUUCGUUGAGUGCUUCGGGUGGCCGGAACGUUUACUUUGAAAAAAUUAGAGUGCUCAAAGCAGGCGGACUGCCUGAAUAAUCGCGCAUGGAAUAAUGGAAUAGGACCUCGGUUCUAUUUUGUUGGUUUUCGGAACUCGAGGUAAUGAUUAAGAGGGACAGACGGGGGCAUUCGUAUUACGGUGUUAGAGGUGAAAUUCUUGGAUCGCCGUAAGACGAACUACUGCGAAAGCAUUUGCCAAGAAUGUUUUCAUUAAUCAAGAACGAAAGUCAGAGGUUCGAAGACGAUCAGAUACCGUCGUAGUUCUGACCAUAAACGAUGCCAACUGGCGAUCCGCGGGCGUUGAUCUAAUGACCCCGCGGGCAGCCUCCGGGAAACCAAAGUUUUUGGGUUCCGGGGGAAGUAUGGUUGCAAAGCUGAAACUUAAAGGAAUUGACGGAAGGGCACCACCAGGAGUGGAGCCUGCGGCUUAAUUUGACCCAACACGGGAAAACUCACCCGGCCCGGACACCGUAAGGAUUGACAGAUUGAGAGCUCUUUCUUGAUUCGGUGGGUGGUGGUGCAUGGCCGUUCUUAGUUGGUGGAGCGAUUUGUCUGGUUAAUUCCAAUAACGAACGAGACUCUAGCCUGCUAAAUAGUUCACCGAUUCACCGAGUCGGUGUUAACUUCUUAGAGGGACAAGUUGCGUUUAGCCACACGAGAUUGAGCAAUAACAGGUCUGUGAUGCCCUUAGAUGUUCGGGGCCGCACGCGCGCUACACUGAAGGAAUCAGCGUGUGUUCUCCCUGAUCCGAAAGGACCGGGUAACCCGUUGAAUCUCCUUCGUGCUAGGGAUUGUGGCUUGCAAUUGUUCCACAUGAACGAGGAAUUCCCAGUAAGCGCGAGUCAUAAGCUCGCGUUGAUUACGUCCCUGCCCUUUGUACACACCGCCCGUCGCUACUACCGAUUGGAUGGUUUAGUGAGAUCCUCGGAUUGGACCCGGCGCGGCGGGCAACCGUCGUGCCGGUGUUCCGAAAAGACGAUCAAACUUGAUCAUCUAGA
rnacentral:rRNA from 1 species